AAAGCGUGCGCAGGCGGUUAUAUAAGACAGAUGUGAAAUCCCCGGGCUCAACCUGGGAACUGCAUUUGUGACUGUAUAGCUGGAGUACGGCAGAGGGGGAUGGAAUUCCGCGUGUAGCAGUGAAAUGCGUAGAUAUGCGGAGGAACACCGAUGGCGAAGGCAAUCCCCUGGGCCUGUACUGACGCUCAUGCACGAAAGCGUGGGGAGCAAACAGGAUUAGAUACCCCUGU
rnacentral:rRNA from 1 species